GGAAGAGUGGGUGAGUGGCUGAAACCAGGCGUUUGCUAAAUGUCCGAAGGGUGAAAACUCUUCCGAGAGUUCGAAUCUCUCCUCUUCCGCCA
rnacentral:tRNA from 1 species